rnacentral:rRNA from 1 species
ACUCCUACGGGAGGCAGCAGUGGGGAAUAUUGCACAAUGGGCGCAAGCCUGAUGCAGCCAUGCCGCGUGUGUGAAGAAGGCCUUCGGGUUGUAAAGCACUUUCAGUCGUGAGGAAGGUAGUGUAGUUAAUAGCUGCAUUAUUUGACGUUAGCGACAGAAGAAGCACCGGCUAACUCCGUGCCAGCAGCCGCGGUAAUACGGAGGGUGCGAGCGUUAAUCGGAAUUACUGGGCGUAAAGCGCGUGUAGGUGGCUUGUUAAGCCAGAUGUGAAAGCCCCGGCUCAACCUGGGAACUGCAUUUGGAACUGGCAGGCUAGAGUUUUGUAGAGGUGGUAGAAUUUCGAGGUGUAGCGGUGAAAUGCAGUAGAGAUCUGAAGGAAUACCGGUGGCGAAGGCGACACCUGGCCAAUAACUGACACUGAGACGCGAAGGCGUGGGUAGCAAACGGGAUUAGAUACCCUGGUAGCUACGAGU